UACAGAGGUCCCGAGCGUUGUUCGGAUUCACUGGGCGUAAAGGGUGCGUAGGUGGCGAGGUAAGUCGGAUGUGAAAGCUCGGAGCUCAACUCCGAAAUGGCAUUGGAAACUACCUUGCUCGAGGGUUGGAGGGGGGGACUGGAAUACUUGGUGUAGCAGUGAAAUGCGUAGAUAUCAAGUGGAACACCAGUGGCGAAGGCGAGUCCCUGGACAACUCCUGACACUGAGGCACGAAAGCUAGGGGGAGCAAACAGG
rnacentral:rRNA from 1 species